AGUCAGUGCUUCUUCAUUGCAGAUAUUUAGUAAGUAUUUAGUUAAAUGGGAACUAUGACUUUAUGAUUGUUUAUCCUUUCCGUGCUUAUUGACCCCCAGUAUUUGUCAGGAAGGUGGACAGGAGUCCAGAAAGAGGGGCCGAGCUUCUGCUUUAAUGAACGCCUGAUGUGUGUGGACCAGCAUCGGAACGGAAGGUUAUGAAGGGGUGCGAGGCAUGGGGCGAGGCCCGUGGAGCGCUCUGAGCUGGAGGUGCAGCUCUGGCCCACAGGCCGCGCCUGCGCAGCAGAUAAAUAUUUAACAACGCGCCCUGGAAGGAGGAGCCCUGACUGCAGCGCUCCAAGUUCUGCGGUGCAGUGUUCCUACCAGUGCUGCCAGUGGGGCGUUACCAGAGAUGCAGGAGCAGCUCUACUUCCGGCCACCUCCGGCCACCAGUGUGGCAGCCAGGGGGCUGUGAGACUGCGGAGGGCUUCUGGGACAGCGGCCCUGCUGAGUCUGAAAGUGGAAGAAAAACCCCAGAAGGGAUUGCUGCACCUCAGUUACCUACCGAAGAGACUCACUCUCGGACGUACUACAAAGCCAAGCAAGCACAUCAUGUACACUGAGGGAACAAGGGAAAGUGCUAUCUUUCCAGAUCCUGCUGUGCUGGUGAGGGAGGAAGAUCUUGUGAUCAGACAUUGUGCAGUCCUAGUGUGGGUAUCAGCUUUCCCGGAGGCAAAGGGUCAGUCUUCACCUGCUGCCUUGCUUUCUCUGCUGCUGUGUACCCAUUGCUCCUACAGAGGGCCUGGACUGAAGGACCCUAGUUAGCAAGACAGACUCCCUAUUGCUGCUGAGCGACCCACCUGCCUGGCCUUUAGAUGAACUCAAAAGGAGGAAGCUUAGGAACCUCCUCCCCUUAGAGAGUCUCUUAGAAACAACAAUUAAUCAACUAUUGUUUUACAGAUGUUCUAAAGACAGGAUGUUCCGCUUCUGUACCUUUUGCUUGCUUUGCUAGUUCUGUCCCAUAGUGGGGACUAGAAACUGCUGGCCUCAAAGGUAUAUAAAAUAUGUUAAUCUCUCCCAGUCUGGGCUCAAGUCUGAUGCUCGGCUCAGUCCUGGCAGGUAAUAAACUCCUGUGUGGAUUUAAUAUCGGUCUCUGGUUGGUUCUUUCUCACUGGUUGCAACAUGGACCACAAGGGUGGGCCU
rnacentral:lncRNA from 1 species